rnacentral:rRNA from 1 species
UACGUAUGGUGCAAGCGUUAUCCGGAUUUACUGGGUGCAAAGGGAGCGUAGGCGGCGAUGCAAGUCAGAAGUGAAAGCCCGGGGCUUAACUCCGGGACUGCUUUUGAAACUGCACUGCUUGAGUACAGGAGAGGCAGGCGGAAUUCCUAGUGUAGCGGUGAAAUGCGUAGAUAUUAGGAAGAACACCGGUGGCGAAGGCGGCCUGCUGGACUGAGACUGACGCUGAGGCUCGAAAGCGUGGGGAGCAAAC